AUGUGGCCAACAGCUGUAGGUAAAACUUGCCUACUGAUCAGUUAUAUAACCAAUGCCUUUCCUGGAGAAUAUAUCCCCACUGUCUUUGACAACUAUUCUGCCAAUGUUAUGGUAGAUGGAAAACCAGUGAAUCUGGGCUUAUGGGAUACAGCUGGACAAGAAGAUUAUGACAGAUUAUGCCCCCUCUCCUAUCCGCAAACAGAUGUGUUCUUAAUUUGCUUUUCCCUUGUGAGUCCUGCAUCAUUUGAAAAUGUCCGUGCAAAGUGGUAUCCCGAAGUACGACACCAUUUUCCCAAUACUCCCAUUAUCCUUGUGGGAACAAAACUUGAUCUUAGGGAUGAUAAAGACACGAUCGAGAAGCUGAAGGAGAAGAAGCUGACUCCUAUCACCUAUCCACAGGGCUUGGCCAUGGCUAAGGAGAUUGGUGCUUUAAAAUACCUAGAGUGCCCAGCUCUCACCCAAAGAGGCCUCAAGACAGUGUUUGAUGAAGCUAUCCGAGCAGUUCUCUGCCCACCUCCUGUCAAAAAGAGGAAGAGAAAAUGUCUGCUGUUGUAA